UAUACGGAGGGUGCAAGCGUUACUCGGAAUCACUGGGCGUAAAGGGCGCGUAGGCGGAUUAUCAAGUCUCUUGUGAAAUCUAAUGGCUUAACCAUUAAACUGCUUGGGAAACUGAUAGUCUAGAGUGAGGGAGAGGCAGAUGGAAUUGGUGGUGUAGGGGUAAAAUCCGUAGAUAUCACCAAGAAUACCCAUUGCGAAGGCGAUCUGCUGGAACUCAACUGACGCUAAGGCGCGAAAGCGUGGGGAGCAAACAGGAUUAGAUACCCUGGUAGUCCACGCCCUAAACGAUGUACACUAGUUGUUGGGAUGCUAGUCAUCUCAGUAAUGCAGCUAACGCAUUAAGUGUACCGCCUGGGGAGUACGGUCGCAAGAUUAAAACUCAAAGGAAUAGACGGGGACCCGCACAAGCGGUGGAGCAUGUGGUUUAAUUCGAAGAUACGCGAAGAACCUUACCUGGGCUUGAUAUCCUAAGAACCUUUUAGAGAUAAGAGGGUGCUAGCUUGCUAGAACUUAGAGACAGGUGCUGCACGGCUGUCGUCAGCUCGUGUCGUGAGAUGUUGGGUUAAGUCCCGCAACGAGCGCAACCCACGUAUUUAGUUGCUAACGGUUCGGCCGAGCACUCUAAAUAGACUGCCUUCGUAAGGAGGAGGAAGGUGUGGACGACGUCAAGUCAUCAUGGCCCUUAUGCCCAGGGCGACACACGUGCUACAAUGGCAUAUACAAUGAGACGCAAUACCGCGAGGUGGAGCAAAUCUAUAAAAUAUGUCCCAGUUCGGAUUGUUCUCUG
rnacentral:rRNA from 1 species